AAAGAGUAUGCCGAUGACAAGUAUUGCGCCAAGUGCAAAGCCUCUAGGUAUGUCGAGAGAGAUCUCAGUGAUGGUACGAAGAAGCAGAGCAAAGUCCCCGCAAAUGUUCUUCGAUAUUUUCCAAUCUUGCCAAGAAUUCAACGCCUUUACUUGAACGAAGAUACAGCCAAACAGAUGACAUGGCACAAAUAUGGGAUAAGACACGACAAAGAUGAUCAUGGGAGACCGAUGCUGAUACAUCCGUCUUGUGCCCAAGCUUGGAAGAGUUUCGAUCAAAUACAUCAUGAGAAAGCAAAAGAGGCAAAGAAUGCACGAGUUGCCAUCGGACUCGAUGGGUUCAAUCCGUUUGGUAUGGUGUCAAAGACAUAUAGUUGUUGGCCCGUGUUUGUUGUUCCCCUCAACCUCCCCCCGUCGCCAUAA
rnacentral:rRNA from 1 species